UGGUUAAAAAGCUCGUAGUUGGAUUUCGGCGGGCAUUGGUUGGUUUGAAUUGUUUCAACACUGACUAUUUUGCCCGUGUGUUUUGCCAGAAUUUAACGGGUGCUCUUCGCCGAGUGUCUGUUAGAGCUGGCAGGUUUACUUUGAAAAAAUUAGAGUGCUCAAAGCAAGCUUAAUCGCUUGAAUAUUCGUGCAUGGAAUAAUAGAAUAGGAAGUCGUUUCUAUUUUGUUGGUUUUCGGAAAUCGACUUAAUGAUUAAUAGGGACAGUCGGGGGCAUUUGUAUUCAAACGACAGAGGUGAAAUUCUUGGACCGUUUGAAGACAAACUACUGCGAAAGCAUUUGCCAAGAAUGUUUUCAUUAAUCAAGAGCGAAAGUUAGAGGUUCGAAGGCGAUUAGAUACCGCCCUAGUUCUAACCACAAACGAUGCCAGCUAGCGAUCUGUCGGCGUUUUAUUUUGACUUGACAGGGAGCUUCCGGGAAACCAAAGCGUGUGGGUUCCAGGGGAAGUAUGGUUGCAAAGCUGAAACUUAAAGGAAUUGACGGAAGGGCACCACCAGGAGUGGAGCCUGUGGCUUAAUUUGACUCAACACGGGAAAUCUCACCAGGCCCGGACACCAGAAGGAUUGACAGAUUGAUAGCUCUUUCU
rnacentral:rRNA from 1 species